AUUGAACGCUGGCGGCAUGCCUUACACAUGCAAGUCGAACGGUAACAGGUCUUCGGAUGCUGACGAGUGGCGAACGGGUGAGUAAUACAUCGGAACGUGCCUAGUAGUGGGGGAUAACUACUCGAAAGAGUGGCUAAUACCGCAUGAGAUCUACGGAUGAAAGCAGGGGAUCGCAAGACCUUGUGCUACUAGAGCGGCCGAUGGCAGAUUAGGUAGUUGGUGGGAUAAAAGCUUACCAAGCCGACGAUCUGUAGCUGGUCUGAGAGGGCGAUCAGCCACACUGGGACUGAGAAACGGCCCAGACUCCUACGGGAGGCAGCAGUGGGGAAUUUUGGACAAUGGGCGCAAGCCUGAUUCAGCAAUGCCGCGUGCAGGAUGAAGGCCUUCGGGUUGUAAACUGCUUUUGUACGGAACGAAAAGCCCUGGGUUAAUACCCUGGGGUCAUGACGGUACCGUAAGAAUAAGCACCGGCUAACUACGUGCCAGCCGCCGCCGUAACAC
rnacentral:rRNA from 1 species